UAUAAGGGAUUUUAAGUUUUUGCUUGCAACGUUUGACCACUCGUCUUAUUCAAAUUGUGCUUAAAGUACUGUAGAUAAUAAAGUAAGUCACAAAUAAAAUAAUUAAUAAUUUCAAAAAAUUUUAAAUAAGACGAGUGGUCAAACGUUGCAAGCAAAAACUCAAAAUCCCUUAUA
rnacentral:pre_miRNA from 1 species